AUUAGUGGCGAACGGGUGAGUAAUAUAUCGGAACGUACCUUGUAAUGGGGGAUAACUAGUCGAAAGAUUAGCUAAUACCGCAUACGCCCUGAGGGGGAAAGUAGGGGAUCUUCGGACCUUACGUUAUAAGAGCGGCCGAUAUCUGAUUAGCUAGUUGGUGGGGUAAUGACCUACCAAGGCGACGAUCAGUAGCUGGUCUGAGAGGACGACCAGCCACACUGGAACUGAGACACGGUCCAG
rnacentral:rRNA from 1 species